AUUGAACGCUGGCGGCAGGCCUAACACAUGCAAGUCGAACGAGUGGCGGACGGGUGAGUAAUGUCUGGGAAACUGCCUGAUGGAGGGGGAUAACUACUGGAAACGGUAGCUAAUACCGCAUACCAUCAGAUGUGCCCAGAUGGGAUUAGCUUGUUGGUGGGGUAACGGCUCACCAAGGCGACGAUCCCUAGCUGGUCUGAGAGGAUGACAGGCAAAACGGGAACUAGGACAGGGUCCAGACUCCUAGGGGAGACAGCAGUGGGGAAUAUUGCAAAAUGGGCGCAAGCCUGAGGCAGCCAUGCGGCGUGUAUGAAGAAGGCCUUGGGGUUGUAAAGUACUUUCAGCGGGGAGGCGUUACCCGAAGAAGAAGCACCGGCUAACUCCGUGCCAGCAGCCGCGGUAAUC
rnacentral:rRNA from 1 species